GAGAUAGUACAAAGCUCUUAAAUGCAGUGUUGCCACCACGCGGUAGGAGCUCAGUCAUGUUCACCAUCAUGAAGGCCUUCAGAGAGGAUCUGGCAUGAAAGCCUUGGAUCACUGCCCUGUAAGUUGUACUUUGGGUGUCUUUAGCCUUUUGAAAUAGCAGAUAACCAGGUAAAGGGUGGACAUGAAAUUCCAUGGCUGAUUAUAACACCCUCGUUAUGAGUUAAGGGACUUCGCACCUUCCUUCUCAUAUCUCAGUACGAGGAUAAACUUCAGAGUCAACUCUGCCAUGUGGGAUGCUAAAGGUCAGUGCAACACAGCUCUGUUUUUGCCCACUACAUGCCAUCACAACCUCUGCCCUGCUGUUCAGCUAACUCUAGGAAGGGACAUCUCCCCUCUUUCUUUGUGAUCCAUCAUUGUGAAGUUUACAAGAAUAGAUCCAGCCCAUAGCUCUAGCUAGGUCUUUGCUUCUCUUGCCUGUUGAGUCAUGUUGUUUGACUUGAAAAGAUUUGACCUAGGGGUCAAAACAGCCUAAGAUCCUUCCUAAAUAAGUGUUUCCCAUGCUUUACAUGUCUCAGCUACUGCAGACAUCAUGUGCUUCCCCUUUUCUCUCUGAUCCUCACAUUUCUUCUUUGCCCUCACCAAAAAUGCUUAUGGUAAGCAUUAUUUUGUGACUGUUCCAUCAUCUUAAUCCAAUGAAAUAUUCUAAAACAAAAGAUCUAGAGGUUUAAGAUGAAUCUUCUAGAUUCUGAGGUCAGAAGUUAUAUUAAAAGGAGAAAUUUGGGGCUGGGCAUGGUGGCUCACAUCUGUAAUCCUAGCACUUUGGGAGGCCGAGGCAUGUGGAUCACUUGAGGUCAGGAGUUCAAGACCAGCCUGGCCAACAUAGUGAAACCCUGUCUCUACUAAAAGUACAACAACAAAACAAAAUUAGCUGGGCGUGAUGGCAGGUGCCUGUAAUCCCAGCUACUCAAGAGGCUGAGGUAGGAGAAUUGCUUGAACUCAGGAAGUAGAGGUUGCAGUGAGCCAAGAUUAUGUCACUGUACUCCAGCCUGGGCAACAGAGCAAGACCCUCUUCAUUAGGUUCAG
rnacentral:lncRNA from 1 species